rnacentral:rRNA from 1 species
UACGACUACAUAUCAGGCAUAUCAAUAAGCGGAGGAAAAGAAACUAACUAGGAUUCCCUCAGUAACGGCGAGUGAAGCGGGAAGAGCUCAAAUUUGAAAUCUUAAAGGGUUUCCCUUGACGAAUUGUAGUUUAAAGAAGUGUUUUCUGUUGAAGUUUCGGUAAAAGUUCUUUGGAAUAGGACAUCAUAGAGGGUGAGAAUCCCGUAUUCGACCAUUACUUUCCAGCUGUGUGAUACACUUUCAAAGAGUCGGAUUGUUUGGGAAUGCAGUCCAAGAUGGGUGGUAAAUUUCAUCUAAAGCUAAAUAUUGGCGAGAGACCGAUAGCGAGCAAGUACCGUGAGGGAAAGAUGAAAAGAACUUUGAAAAGAGAGUUAAACAGUACGUGAAAUUGUCAAAAGGGAAGCGUUUGACACCAGUGUUGUUUAGUUGAAAAUCAAUUCAAUAGUUUUUGAUUCUAAGUAGUAUUGACUUCAUCAGCUUGCUGCUUUCUUCUCAGAAAUUAUUGAAUGCACUUUUCAGUUAACAAGUCAACAUCAAUUUCUUUUGUUGUAAAAGGGUAAGAGGAAGGUGGCUUGCGCUUCGGCUCAAGUGUUUAUAGCCUUUUAUCUCUGCAAUCGGAGAGAUUGAGGUCUGCAGCGUAGAUCCUUCGGGGUUAGAUACAUUGGUGCUAAGCUAUAGCCUUGUAUAGACAACUUGUUGACUAUGCUCAGUCAUGUAGCUUACUCGCUGAUGCUAUUUUACCUACGCUUAGGAUGUUGAGCGCAUGUCUCUCUCU